rnacentral:rRNA from 1 species
AACGAACGCUGGCGGCAUGCCUAACACAUGCAAGUCGAACGAGACCUUCGGGUCUAGUGGCGCACGGGUGCGUAACGCGUGGGAAUCUGCCCUUGGGUACGGAAUAACAGUUAGAAAUGACUGCUAAUACCGUAUAAUGACUUCGGUCCAAAGAUUUAUCGCCCAGGGAUGAGCCCGCGUAGGAUUAGCUUGUUGGUGAGGUAAAGGCUCACCAAGGCGACGAUCAGUAGCUGGUCUGAGAGGAUGAUCAGCCACAUUGGGACUGAGACACGGCCCAAACUCCUACGGGAGGCAGCAGUGGGGAAUAUUGGACAAUGGGCGAAAGCCUGAUCCAGCCAUGCCGCGUGAGUGAUGAAGGCCUUAGGGUUGUAAAGCUCUUUUACCCGGGAAGAUAAUGACGAUACCGGGAGAAUAAGCCCC